GUGAGUCAUCGAAUCUUUGAACGCACAUUGCGCCCCUUGGUAUUCCGGGGGGCAUGCCUCUUCCAGCGUCAUUUCACCCCUCAAGCUCUGCUUGGUCUUGGGCCGCGCCGGCAACGGCAGGCCUCGAAAACAGUGGCGACGCCAUCGUGCUCUCAGCGUAGUAAUUCUUCUCGCUGUUGGGUCCCGGUGGUCUGUCCGCCAGCAACCCCCAACUUUCUAAGUUUGACCUGGGAUGAGGUAGGGAUACCCGCUGAACUUAAGCAUAUCAAUAAGCGGAGGA
rnacentral:misc_RNA from 1 species